GAUUCAGGUGCCUCAUCCCACCAAUCACCUGACCUUAUUCUGGAUUGCUCCAUUGAUACUGCACCAGUGAAGGCCCUUUGCUACUGAUUACAGUCCUGAAGAGCUAUUUUUUCCUUUCUGCCUCCUAUGACUGUUUAUUGGUGGGGAGUGCACCUUGUCAUUUACCAGCAAUGCUCAGAGAAAUUGCAAAAAUAACGAGAGUAAUAUCUCAGACUCUACAUGCCUCAGUUAGAAUGUUAAAUGUUAAAGUUCAUGACAGUACAAUUAGAAAAUGACUGAACAAGCAUGGUUUGUUUGGAAGGGUUGCCAGUGAAAACCUCUUCUCUCUAAAAAGAACAUGGCAGCUCGGCUUAAGUUUGCAAAGUUGCAUCCAAACAAACCACAAGACUUCCGGAAUAAUGUCAUCUGGAGAGACGUGACCAAAGUUGAGAUGUUUGACCAUAAUGCACAGUGCCACAUUUGAUGAAAAACAAACACAGCAUAUCAGCACUUACCCCUCAUAUCAACUGUCAAGCACGGUGGGGGAGCGGUGAUGUUUUUUGUUUGUUUUACAGCCACAUGACCAAGGAAUCUUGCAGUCCUAGAGUCGACCAUGACCUCCUCUAUACCAAAGUAUGCUAGAGUCAAAUGUGGGGGCAUCUGUCCAACAGCUCAAGCUUGGCUGAAAUUGGGUCAUGCAACAGGACAAUGAUCCCAAACACACACGCAAAUCUGAAACAGAAUGGAUGACAAAUAUAAAGAAUCAAGGGAUUGCAAUUGUCCAGUCAAAGUCCAGACAUCAACCCGAUUGAAAUGCUGUGGUGGUAGUGGUGCAUAAAGAAAUGCCAGCAAACCUCAAUGAACUGAAGCAACGUUGUAAAGAAGAUCAGGCCAAAAUUCCUCCACAAGAAUGUGAGAGACUGAUAACGUCAUACAGAAAACUAUUACUUCAAUUUGUUGUUGCUGCAUAGUUCUACAAGCUAUUCAGUCAUAAGGUGUACUUCAUUUUUCACGCAUGGCUUCUCUAUUUUGGCUUUAUAUUUAUUAAAUAAAUCAUGACACAGUGAGAUGUCAUGUCUUGUUCAUCUGAGAUUUUAUUUACCUAAUUUUAAGACCUGCUAAGGAAGAGAUGAUUAUGUCUUGAUAUGUAAAACCAUAGAAUUUAGUAUAGUGUUCUUUCUUUUCCC